rnacentral:pre_miRNA from 1 species
UGAUUUUUUGUCUUAUUUGAAUUUUUUUUGCGAUUAAUAUUUUUAUUCUUACUAGAUGAUAAAACAUGAAUAGUACUUUAUACGUAACUAAUUUUUUUAAGUUUUUUAUAAAUUUUUCAAAUAAGACGAAUGGUCA